rnacentral:tRNA from 1 species
GCCUUCGUGGUGUAGUGGUCAGCACACUUGACUUGUAACCGAGAGGUCCGUGGUUCGAUUCCCGGCGCAGGUG